rnacentral:lncRNA from 1 species
GCCAAGCUAGGGACUGACCAUUAUUUGUAGACUACAGGGAGCCACUGGUGCAUUAAAGUAGCAGAGUGUGACAUGAAUGGGUCUGGAUUUUAGUAAGAUAAAGCUUGUGACAGUAUGAACGAUGGAUUUAAGGGGUGAGAAACUAUAAACAAGGAGACCAGUCAGAUACAAUAAUGCACAUAAGAAUGGGAAAUUAAUAAAAACUGUGGCAGCAGAUAUAAUAGAAGGGCACACAUUCAAAAGAUAAUCUAGAGUUAGAUGAACAUAGCAAUAGUAGUUAAAUUCAUAUGGUUUAUUUUUUGUCUGUGUCCUUCACUGUAUUAAGGACUCCAUGCACAUUACCAAUAAAUCUUCAUAGCAGCCCUAUGACAUGCACUCUACUUACUGUGCCUGUUUUACAGAUGGGGGAAGUGAAGAUUAGGGAAGUUAAACGGCUGGCUGAAGAUCACAUAGCUAGUAAUUAUGGAGCUGGGACUGAACCCAGGCCUAACUCAUUUGAGAGCAUAACAAAUACCUAAGAUAAACAGCUUCUAACUUGCCCAGAUGACCAUGGGAAAUGAGGAAAAAUUGGAAACUAAGGAUAACUAUGUUGUUCCUGGUCUGAGUGACGUGGGGAAUGAAGAUCUGAUUAUCAAGGUCCUGGGUUUAUCCUAAGGCUGUUUCACACCAAAGCUCUACAGGAAGGACACCAAGUAGCAAAAAAAUGCAUGUCAAAUGGGAGAAACAAAGUAGUUUUCCUUGGCUCUGUGUUAUGAGCUGGAUCUAAAUACUCCAGAAUCAAGGAAGCUAUAAUGCCUGCUCUUCUUCUAAAGCUCAAAGCCGAAUUUCAGAACUCACCUAAGAAUGAAACACAAAGCCUCUCAUGCCCACAUCAGACAUGAAGAGAGAUUGUGUCCUUCAAAGGCAAAAUCUGGAAGGAAAUUUGGGGCCAUCAGGAAUAACUCUCCAAAUCCCAAGAUCAGCAAGCCCAGUAAUAUUUUAUCAGUACAUCUGGACAUGAGCAGAAACCUCCAUCUACUAGUGUUUGACAACCGUGGAUGGAUGUACAGGCCGUCAAACAAAGGGAAGCUUUGCUGGGGUCAUCAGUGACAAAGGGAUGAAAUCUGAUAACAUGACAGAUUUUGUAAUUCUGACAAACAAGGAACUUACGAAGUCAGUAGAAGGAAGGCAAAUGGGAACAGAGAUCACUCCGGCCUCCACUUUGAUCAUUCUGUAAAUAUUUUGGUCUGUGUUUCAUGUGUUAGAUUCUCUCUAUACCCAGAAGGCAAGAAG